UGAGGAAUAUUGGUCAAUGGGCGAGAGCCUGAACCAGCCAAGUAGCGUGCAGGAUGACGGCCCUAUGGGUUGUAAACUGCUUUUAUAUGGGAAUAAAGUGAGGGACGUGUCCCUUAUUGCAUGUACCAUACGAAUAAGGACCGGCUAAUUCCGUGCCAGCAGCCGCGGUAAUACGGAAGGUCCAGGCGUUAUCCGGAUUUAUUGGGUUUAAAGGGAGCGUAGGCUGUUUGUUAAGCGUGUUGUGAAAUGUAAGAGCUCAACUUUUAGAUUGCAGCGCGAACUGUCAGACUUGAGUGCGCACAACGUAGGCGGAAUUCAUGGUGUAGCGAUGAAAUGCUUAGAUAUCAUGAAGAACUCCGAUUGCGAAGGCAGCUUACGGGAGCGCAACUGACGCUGAAGCUCGAAGGUGCGGGUAUCGAACAGG
rnacentral:rRNA from 1 species